rnacentral:rRNA from 1 species
CGCGUAUGUAACCUGCCUACUACAGAGGGAUAGCCCAUGGAAACGUGGAUUAAUACCUUAUGGUACAUUUAAACCUCAUGGUUAAAAUGUUAAAGAUUUAUCGGUAGUAGAUGGACAUGCGUCUGAUUAGGUAGUUGGUGAGGUAACGGCUCACCAAGCCAACGAUCAGUAGGGGGUUUGAGAGGAUGAUCCCCCACACUGGAACUGAGACACGGUCCAGACUCCUACGGGAGGCAGCAGUAGGGAAUAUUGGUCAAUGGAGGCAACUCUGAACCAGCCACGCCGCGUGUAGGAAGAAUG